rnacentral:rRNA from 1 species
UACGUAGGAGACGAGCGUUGUCCGGAUUCAUUGGGCGUAAAGGGUGCGUAGGCGGCGCGGUAAGUCGGGUGUGAAAUCUUGGAGCUUAACUCCGAAACUGCAUUUGAUACUGCCGUGCUUGAGGACUGGAGAGGAGACUGGAAUUUACGGUGUAGCGGUGAAAUGCGUAGAUAUCGUAAGGAAGACCAGUGGCGAAGGCGGGUCUCUGGACAGUUCCUGACGCUGAGGCACGAAGGCCAGGGGAGCAAACGGG